GGCCAAGGGAAACCACUAUCACAAUAAUGUGGACUCUGGAAGGAUGAAAGUGGUUGGUAGCUCAGCCAUUGCAGCUGGGAAACAACUCGUUCCAAAAAGCCAAUUCCUUUUCCCCAUUUGUAAAUGUUGGCCCUAAUCCAUGAGCAACUUAUUUUUCUAAGAGAAGUAUGUUUACUGGUGCUCACCAAGUAUCUGUGGUUCUCUAUAACAGUCACCAGUGCAUUGUCACAUUCACACAAACAGAAAGGUUCCAGCACAUGGAUAUGGUGGUUUGCAUGUGAGUGCUAGACAGGCAGUAACAGCAGGUACUGGAACUCCUCACCUACAGCUCAUUUUGGUCCCCAAGGUUCAGGGUGAGGUAAUUAACUCAGGUCCUUCAGGAAGGUACCAAACUCCUAAGAGGAAGUCAGGUCACUGUAUCACAGUGAGUCUUGCUGGACACAGGCCAUUCUACUCUAUCGUCCCUUGAGACAUGAGAUAAUCAGGCAACAUAAGCUGUUCAAGGGUCCCCUACAGUGCUUCAAGAGAACUUAAAGUUAUUAUGAAGUAACCCAAAUAGACUUCUCUCAAUAAGUUUGUCACACAUAGGUCAGUAACAAUGCCUAGGUAAUGAAGCUAUGCUGGUUUGGAUCUCUUGUCCCUCAUGUCACACCUCUAUGAUCACAAACAAGCACCUACAAAAUCAUUUUAGUAUCAUUUACCAAUUUGAAUACCUCUAUUCCCCUACCUAUAGCUUAUGGAGGCAAAUAGCAAUGUUUUCCAUUUUCCCCAAAUUAAGAUAAAUGACCAGCGAUUACUAAAGAGUCAACCAUCUUCAAGAAGUUUAGAAAAUGAAUGAUGGUUUUUUUUUUCUUUCUUUCUUUUUUAACUUUUUCUUUUCUGACACUGUUCUGAUGACACAAGGGAAACAGGCUGGUGUUCUGUGCUAUCACUCACCUGUGCCAUUGGCCAGGCCACUGUGGCUUGGGUUCUUGAUGGGUUGGCGGUGCCGAUUCCUGGUACCAGGGCUUUGCUCACCAGUUGCUGUGAUUGUUCUGGAUGAACCACCUGAAUGUCUGUGCGUCCUGGAUCUCCCACCAAAGCAGUUUGUGCUGGGGAGUGGGUGCCGGUUCUCUGGAGCCACAACUGUCCCAAUGGAUUCUCUUGAAGAUGGCUGCGAUCCUGGAAAGGGAAUCAAUCACAAGAAAAGACAGAAACAUUGAGACACUCAACCUCAUUCGAGAGUUGGCUACCAAGCACAGAUU
rnacentral:lncRNA from 1 species